rnacentral:rRNA from 1 species
UACGAAGGGGGCUAGCGUUGCUCGGAAUUACUGGGCGUAAAGCGCACGUAGGCGGUUUGUUGCGUCGGCUGUGAAAUCCCGAGGCUCAACCUCGGGUCUGCAGUCGAUACGAGCAAACUAGAGUGUUGCAGGGGAGACUGGAAUUCCUGGUGUAGCGGUGAAAUGCGCAGAUAUCAGGAGGAACACCGGUGGCGAAGGCGGGUCUCUGGGCAACAACUGACGCUGAGGAGCGAAAGCGUGGGGAGCGAACAGG